GGGCUAUGCAUUGGACUGCUAAUCAAAAGAGUAUCAGCCGAUAAACAAGCAGUUCAGCUGGGCUCUCUCAGGUCUUGGGGAGCUCAUCACUUCAAUGAGAGUGUUCACUAACCGGGAACUCUUCUUUCACACGGAGCAGAAACUGGGUGCCCACCAACUUCCAUCCUUCUCAAGGUCCUCUUUACCUUCCACAUAAACAUUCACACUCCAGCCGAGGCCAAAGCUUGACACGUCUUAACGUGGAUCAGAAGAGGCACCUGAGAACGGCUGCCCCUUGGAGCUGCACCAUGUCAGUGUCGCUGGCUGGUACAGGUAGAAACUCAAUGAUGACAGAAUGACAUUUUUAAAAGGCCUGUGUUGAGAAACGAGCCUAAAGCAUAAGACAGCCCUACAUCUCAAACCCAACCCACUGACAUCAAGUGCACUCUGACUCACAGUGACCUUACCGGACAGAGCAGACUGCUCCUUAGUGUUUCUCACAUGGUAAGUCUCCCCCCUACGCCUCCCAGGUUUGCCCUCUAACAUUGGGCUAAGUCAGUUCCCAUCAAUUCACCUGUGUAAGUAUGUCACUGAAGGGCAUAGCUAUGAGGUUUACAUUUUUUUUUCCUUCGAUGUUAAUUGCCAAAAGAGGCUUAGUAAGCCUUUGUGGGAACAGACAGCUCUGUCUUUCUCCUGUGGAGUGGCUAGUUUGAACCAUGAGCUUUGCAAUGAGCAGCCCAAUGCAUGACCCUCUGGACUAUCAGGGUGCCUUCAGAGCACUUGGCUCUGACUCCCCAGCGCUUUCAAUCAUUGGGAACAGGUAGUUUGUUUUUUUUUAGCCAUUGCCAUGUGCCAGGCACUGUACUAGGCCCCUGACUGGCAUGUCCUCAUUUGCUUCCUGUAGUCAGUCCAUGCAGAGCUGUGGUCCUAGACUACGAACAAGAUCCUGAUCCAGGAUUCAAGCCCAAUGAGCUCCCCCUCCAGUUUGCUCACCCCUCCACCGACACUACUUUUGCUUGUUAGGCUAGUUACAUUUCAGAAGAUCCCGUUGCCUCUUUUCUGU